GUGGAAACCCCCAGUGUGAUGCAGAUUUGUUUGAAACUGAGUGACCAGCUUCUAGAGAUACGGGAGUCCCCACAGGCCAGCUCACCCCUCCCCCACAGCCCUGUGUGAGCUCACAAUACCUAGCCUUCUGAUGGCAGUUACCUCAAAGGGAUUUAAACGAACCAAAAUGGAAAGCUUUGGAUGAGCAGAGUCCGAGUCUGCCGUCAGUGUGAAGGUUGAGAGUUCAGAAAAGUCUGAAGUGUGGACAGGACCAAUAAGAAGCUACCAUAAGACUAAUUCCCACUCAACAUCAGGAAGAGUUAGCAACAGCGGUCCUAAAACAGAAAGACGGCUUCCAGAAACUGGAGAAUUUUCUAAUAACAUGAGGAUGUUACUGAGUCACCAUAUCUUGGAGGAAACAGCUCUGCUUUGGGAUCCAGGAAGCUAAGCAUCCCAUUGUGUGACUUUGGACAAGUCAUUUCACCCCCAACUUCUGCUGCCCCUUCUGCAAAAUUCAGAACAAAGCUUUCAUCCUCAUUGUUUGGAUGCCAGUGCUUAUUAGGAACUUCCCGUACCCUGAGUGGAAGAGAAGAAAUUGAUUUGUGACCAUCAAUGCAUUUCACCUCAAAUGCAGAUGGAGUAAAUAAGGAUACAGCUCAGAUCAGGAAGAGAAAGCAAAACCUCAUUUAUGAACCCAGCUGAUCCCCGCACCCAUCCUUAUAACGAGUAGCUUAGACAGCACACACAUUUCAGUUUCCUCCUUGAGACCUUUCUCCAUCUGUUAUUCUAUUCAUUCUCCAAGGUCAUGAGUUUACCUAUGAAUGAAUAAAUUAUGGUGGAAAAGCUUUUAUAAAUUAUGAUAGAACAGCUUCUCAACUGAUCUGGACAGCUUGAAAUAUAUGC
rnacentral:lncRNA from 1 species